GACGAACGCUGGCGGCGUGCUUAACACAUGCAAGUCGAACGGAAAGGCCCUGCUUUUGUGGUGUGCUCGAGUGGCGAACGGGUGAGUAACACGUGAGUAACCUGCCCUUGACUUUGGGAUAACUUCAGGAAACUGGGGCUAAUACCGUAUAGGAUCUCCUGCUGCAUGGUGGGGGUUGGAAAGUUUCGGCGGUUGGGGAUGGACUCGCGGCUUAUCAGCUUGUUGGUGGGGUAGUGGCUGACCAAGGCUUUGACGGGUAGCCGGCCUGAGAGGGUGACCGGCCACAUUGGGACUGAGAUACGGCGCAGACUGCUACGGGAGGCAGCAGUGGGGAAUAUUGCACAAUGGGCGGAAGCGUGAGGCAGAAGCGCCGCGUGCGGGAUGACGGCCUUCGGGUUGUAAACCGCUUUCGCCUGUGACGAAGCGGGAGUGACGGUAAUGGGUAAAGAAGCACCGGCUAACUACGUG
rnacentral:rRNA from 1 species